GCAGAUCUCCAAGAGGGAGGGGCCGGCCACCUCUCUGGCCCUGUCUGCCAGGCUGGUUCAGCUGACUGCUGGCUGGAACCAUGCUCUGCUCCCUCUCUGCCCUUCUCCUGGGCACUUUCUUAGCGGGUGCCCUCCUCCUUGGUGCCAGAGCUCAGACCAUCCAUCAGUGGCCACCUACCAAGAUCCAGCGUGUGGGCAGGCCACUCUCCCUGGACUGCACAGUGAAGGGGACAUCAAGCCCCAACCUGUACUGGUACCGGCAGGCCGGAGGUGGGGCCCUCCAGCUGCUCUUCUUCUCCAUCAGUGCUGGCCACGCAGAGUCUCAGGCGCCCCAGCACUUCACAGCCUCCAGGCCCCAGGACGGCCACUUUAGCCUGCAUUCUGAGAAGCUCCUCCUCAACGACUCUGGCCUCUACCUCUGCGCCUGGAGGGCCGGGUGCAGGGUGUUCGUCACCGGGUUUCUCACUGCCACUCUGCAUGAGAGCAACGGGUUCGAGCCAGAUCUCCCCAAAGAACCUUACUGA